UAGUUAAGUAAUUUAUAUAAAAUAUUUACCUUGAAAGUAAAAUAAAGAAAUUGUUUCUAUUAACU
rnacentral:tRNA from 1 species